UGAGGAAUAUUGGACAAUGGAUGGAAAUCUGAUCCAGCCAUGCCGCGUGCAGGAAGACGGCCCUAUGGGUUGUAAACUGCUUUUGUAUGGGAGCAAUAAGGGCUACGUGUUGCCUGAUGAGAGUACCAUACGAAUAAGGACCGGCUAACUCCGUGCCAGCAGCCGCGGUAAUACGGAGGGUCCGAGCGUUAUCCGGAUUUAUUGGGUUUAAAGGGUGCGUAGGCGGUUUUAUAAGUCAGCGGUGAAAUUUUCCGGCUCAACCGGGAUACUGCCGUUGAUACUGUAAGGCUAGGAUAUGGUUGCUGUGGGUGGAAUGUGUGGUGUAGCGGUGAAAUGCUUAGAGAUCACACAGAAUAUCGAUUGCGAAGGCAGCUCACAAAGCCAUUAUUGACGCUGAGG
rnacentral:rRNA from 1 species